UGAAGACUAUGUGCUCCAUCUCAAAAGCAGAAAAUAAAAUAUAUAGGAUUACAAAGGAAAAUAAUUAUCUUGUAAUACAGUUAUUGAAAUAUUAAAAAUUAGCUCUAAUUAUAUGAUGCAAUGAUUUAUCCAGAUCCACUGUAUAAAUCUCUUUCCUGGAAGUCAUAAUAAUCUGAAUAGGUCACUUUUACUUCAUUCUAUACAAAUGGGCAAUGAAUGGUUCUCCUCAUUAUAUUGUCUAAUAGAGGCAUGUAAGAAUUGAAAAUAAUACUUCUAUGCAGAUAUAUAUUUUAUAAAGUUUAUUGGAAGGGUAGACAAACGUUCCUAAGUAACCUGACCGUGUGGCUCCUAGCCUGCAUGUCUCUUCUCUCCUUCCCCCCCUCACCUGCCUGCUCUGUUCUCUUUUAGGCUCUCCCCCAUUCUCUCUCGAUUCUCCCCAAGCCUUGACUUUUAUUGACGUGCAGAACGUUGACCUGGCGCAACUGUGGUAUGUCAGGAAUGUUUGAUAGACGGGGAAAGCUCCUCAGGAGGGUGAGGGGAUAACCUUCCUUGACACAGGCACCCACCUAUUAUUCUGGGUCCUCAUUGUUCAAUACUGAAGAUUUUUUUCCUAAAAGGAUUAUUUCUUCCUAGACAAGAUAUAAAAUCUCCCAAACCUCAGAGGUGAGUACUUUGCUCUGACACUGAUGGCUUGAUGAUAAGGUAUGACUUCAUGAUCUUGCCCUGGAUUUCCCUGUUGACUUUAUAUUGAGAUUCUUAGCUGAUUCAUGAUCCUUUCAUAUAUCUGACAAUAUGUAUUCUUGGACUUGGCCUUCAAAAGGAGAGGAAAGACAUAAUCUACAAGAGCCAUAUUGUUCUUCCAGGGAAUGAUGGGCUCCCAAAGGUCUUCCUGGAGGAGAGAAGACAUAGAAGUUGGCAAUGGACAGAGACAGUGUUUGAUUGAGUCAUCCAAGGCCAGUGACAAGAUAAAAGUGAAGAUGACCAGUGAUGGUCUGGGAUGCAGUAGAUGACCCUGGUGUCUUUCAUGUUUGACAAAGCUCUAAGCAUUCCAUAGCUCUUGCUUCAGCUGCCUUCAUGGCUAUCGGAAGUCUUCACAUUCACUUGUUCCUUAUUGUAUAUUGAACAAAAUUGUUCCUUACUGUCCACAGAACAAAAUUGCAAUUUAUAUUAGUGUGGCAUUCAAGGCUUACCAUAAUCUGAUGUCUCCUUGCCUUUCCAGUUUAGUUGUGUGAUUCUGAAUAAGUCAUGUUAUCUUUGUGUGCUUCAGUUUCCUCUGUAAAAUGAAGAUAAUAAUAGCACCCACGGCACAUAGAUUCUAGUGAGGAUUAAAUGAGUUGGUAUUUGUAAAGCACUUAGCACAAUGUCUGGCACAUGGUAUGCAUUAUGUAAAUGUGUGCUAAUAUA
rnacentral:lncRNA from 1 species